GACAGAGGGUGCAAACGUUGUUCGGAAUUACUGGGCGUAAAGCGUGUGUAGGCGGCCACGUAAGUCGGAUGUGAAAGCCCCAGGCUCAACCUGGGAAGUGCACUCGAUACUGCGUGGCUUGAGUAUCGGAGAGGUUGGUGGAAUUCUCGGGUGUAGAGGUGAAAUUCGUAGAUAUCGAGAGGAACACCGGUGGCGAAGGCGGCCAACUGGACGAAUACUGACGCUGAGACACGAAAGCGUGGGGAGCAAACAGG
rnacentral:rRNA from 1 species